AGAGUUUGCUCUCUGGUGGCGAGUGGCGAACGGGUGAGUAAUAUAUCGGAACGUGUCCAAUAAUGGGGGAUAACGAGUCGAAAGAUUCGCUAAUACCGCAUACGCCCUACGGGGGAAAGCAGGGGAUCGUAAGACCUUGCGUUAAUGGAGCGGCCGAUAUCUGAUUAGCUUGUUGGUGAGGUAAAGGCUCACCAAGGCGACGAUCAGUAGCUGGUUUGAGAGAACGACCAGCCACACUGGAACUGAGACACGGUCCAGACUCCUACGGGAGGCAGCAGUGGGGAAUUUUGGACAAUGGGGGCAACCCUGAUCCAGCCAUUCCGCGUGAGUGAAGAAGGCCUUCGGGUUGUAAAGCUCUUUCGCAAGGGAAGAAAACUUAUGAUCGAAUAAAUCAUGAGGUUGACGGUACCUUGAUAAGAAGCACCGGCUAACUACGUGCCAGCAGCCGCGGUAAUACGUAGGGUGCGAGCGUUAAUCGGAAUUACUGGGCGUAAAGCGUGCGCAGGCGGUUUUGUAAGUCGGAUGUGAAAUCCCCGGGCUCAACCUGGGAACUGCGUUCGAAACUGCAAGGCUAGAGUGUGUCAGAGGGGGGUAGAAUUCCACGUGUAGCAGUGAAAUGCGUAGAGAUGUGGAGGAAUACCAAUGGCGAAGGCAGCCCCCUGGGAUAACACUGACGCUCAUGCACGAAAGCGUGGGGAGC
rnacentral:rRNA from 1 species